AGAAUAAGCACCGGCUAACUACGUGCCAGCAGCCGCGGUAAUACGUAGGGUGCGAGCGUUAAUCGGAAUUACUGGGCGUAAAGCGGGCGCAGACGGUUAUUUAAGCAGGAUGUGAAAUCCCCGGGCUCAACCUGGGAACUGCGUUCUGAACUGGAUAGCUAGAGUGUGUCAGAGGGGGGUAGAAUUCCACGUGUAGCAGUGAAAUGCGUAGAGAUGUGGAGGAAUACCGAUGGCGAAGGCAGCCCCCUGGGAUAACACUGACGUUCAUGCCCGAAAGCGUGGGUAGCAAACAGGAUUAGAUACCCUGGUAGUCCACGCCCUAAACGAUGUCAAUUAGCUGUUGGGGUGCUUGACACCUUAGUAGCGUAGCUAACGCGUGAAAUUGACCGCCUGGGGAGUACGGUCGCAAGAUUAAAACUCAAAGGAAUUGACGGGGACCCGCACAAGCGGUGGAUGAUGUGGAUUAAUUCGAUGCAACGCGAAGAACCUUACCUGGUCUUGACAUGUACGGAAGAGCGUAGAGAUAUGCUUGUGCCUUCGGGAACCGUAACACAGGUGCUGCAUGGCUGUCGUCAGCUCGUGUCGUGAGAUGUUGGGUUAAGUCCCGCAACGAGCGCAACCCUUGUCAUCAGUUGCCAUCAUUAAGUUGGGCACUCUGAUGAGACUGCCGGUGACAAACCGGAGGAAGGUGGGGAUGACGUCAAGUCCUCAUGGCCCUUAUGACCAGGGCUUCACACGUCAUACAAUGGUCGGUACAGAGGGUAGCCAAGCCGCGAGGCGGAGCCAAUCCCAGAAAACCGAUCGUAGUCCGGAUUGCACUCUGCAACUCGAGUGCAUGAAGUCGGAAUCGCUAGUAAUCGCAGGUCAGCAUACUGCGGUGAAUACGUUCCCGGGUCUUGUACACACCGCCCGUCACACCAUGGGAGUGGGGGAUACCAGAAUUGGGUAGGGUAACCGAAAGGAGCCCGCUUAACACGGUAUGCUUCAUGACUGGGGUGAAGUCGUAACAAGGUAGCCGUAGGGGAACCUGCGGCUG
rnacentral:rRNA from 1 species